rnacentral:tRNA from 10 species
GUGACUGUAGUUCAGCUGGUAGAGCACUAGGUUGUGAUCCUAGGUGUCGCGGGUUCGAGUCCCGUCAGUCACCCCA